CUAUCUGCAGUCGAGCGGACAGAAGGGAGCUUGCUCCCGGAUGUUGGCGGCGGACGGGUGAGUAACACGUGGGUAACCUGCCUGUAAGACUGGGAUAACUCCGGGAAACCGGAGCUAAUACCGGAUAGUUCCUUGAACCGCAUGGUUCAAGGAUGAAAGACGGUUUCGGCUGUCACUUACAGAUGGACCCGCGGCGCAUUAGCUAGUUGGUGAGGUAACGGCUCACCAAGGCGACGAUGCGUAGCCGACCUGAGAGGGUGAUCGGCCACACUGGGACUGAGACACGGCCCAGACUCCUACGGGAGGCAGCAGUAGGGAAUCUUCCGCAAUGGACGAAAGUCUGACGGAGCAACGCCGCGUGAGUGAUGAAGGUUUUCGGAUCGUAAAGCUCUGUUGUUAGGGAAGAACAAGUGCAAGAGUAACUGCUUGCACCUUGACGGUACCUAACCAGAAAGCCACGGCUAACUACGUGCCAGCAGCCGCGGUAAUACGUAAGUGGCAAGCGUUGUCCGGAAUUAUUGGGCGUAAAGGGCUCGCAGGCGGUUUCUUAAGUCUGAUGUGAAAGCCCCCGGCUCAACCGGGGAGGGUCAUUGGAAACUGGGAAACUUGAGUGCAGAAGAGGAGAGUGGAAUUCCACGUGUAGCGGUGAAAUGCGUAGAGAUGUGGAGGAACACCAGUGGCGAAGGCGACUCUCUGGUCUGUAACUGACGCUGAGGAGCGAAAGCGUGGGGAGCGAACAGGAUUAGAUACCCUGGUAGUCCACGCCGUAAACGAUGAGUGCUAAGUGUUAGGGGGUUUCCGCCCCUUAGUGCUGCAGCUAACGCAUUAAGCACUCCGCCUGGGGAGUACG
rnacentral:rRNA from 1 species